GAUGAACGCUGGCGGCGUGCCUAAUACAUGCAAGUCGAGCGAACGGACGAGAAGCUUGCUUCUCUGAUGUUAGCGGCGGACGGGUGAGUAACACGUGGAUAACCUACCUAUAAGACUGGGAUAACUUCGGGAAACCGGAGCUAAUACCGGAUGAUAUUUUGAACCGCAUGGUUCAAAAGUGAAAGGCGGUCUUGCUGUCACUUUUAGAUGGUUCCGCGCUGCAUUAGCUAGUUGGUAAGGUAACGGCUUACCAAGGCAACGAUGCAUAGCCGACCUGAGAGGGUGAUCAGCCACACUGGAACUGAGACACGGUCCAGACUCCUACGGGAGGCAGCAGUAGGGAAUCUUCCGCAAUGGGCGAAAGCCUGACGGAGCAACGCCGCGUGAGUGAUGAAGGUCUUCGGAUCGUAAAACUCUGUUAUUAGGGAAGAACAUAUGUGUAAGUAACUGUGCACAUCUUGACGGUACCUAAUCAGAAAGCCACGGCUAACUACGUG
rnacentral:rRNA from 1 species